UAGGGAAUCUUCGGCAAUGGACGAAAGUCUGACCGAGCAACGCCGCGUGAGUGAAGAAGGUUUUCGGAUCGUAAAACUCUGUUGUUAGAGAAGAACAAGGACGUUAGUAACUGAACGUCCCCUGACGGUAUCUAACCAGAAAGCCACGGCUAACUACGUGCCAGCAGCCGCGGUAAUACGUAGGUGGCAAGCGUUGUCCGGAUUUAUUGGGCGUAAAGCGAGCGCAGGCGGUUUCUUAAGUCUGAUGUGAAAGCCCCCGGCUCAACCGGGGAGGGUCAUUGGAAACUGGGAGACUUGAGUGCAGAAGAGGAGAGUGGAAUUCCAUGUGUAGCGGUGAACUGCGUAGAUAUAUGGCGGAACACCAGUGGCGAAUGCGGCUCUCUGGUCUGUAACUGACGCUGAGGCUCGAAGGCGUGGGGAGCAAACAGG
rnacentral:rRNA from 1 species